GUGGAUCUGGAGCAUGAGUGGACAAUCCCCAGCCACAUGCCCUUCUCCAAGGCCCACUGGACACCUUUUGAAGGGCAGAAAGUGAAGGGCACCAUCCGCCGUGUGGUCUUGCGAGGGGAGGUUGCCUAUAUCGAUGGGCAGGUUCUGGUACCCCCGGGCUAUGGACAGGAUGUACGGAAGUGGCCACAGGGGGCUGUUCCUCAGCUCCCACCCUCAGCCCCUGCCACCAGUGAGAUGACCACGCCAGGCGUGGUGGUGCACAUCUGUAAUCCCAGCUACUUGGGAGGCUGAGGCAGGAGAAUUGCUUGAACCCAGAAGGUCACGCCACUGCACUCCAGCCUGAGCGACAGAACAAGACUCCAUCUC
rnacentral:sRNA from 1 species